GAUGAACGCUGGCGGCGUGCCUAAUACAUGCAAGUCGAGCGAACAGACGAGGAGCUUGCUCCUCUGACGUUAGCGGCGGACGGGUGAGUAACACGUGGAUAACCUACCUAUAAGACUGGGAUAACUUCGGGAAACCGGAGCUAAUACCGGAUAAUAUAUUGAACCGCAUGGUUCAAUAGUGAAAGACGGUUUUGCUAUCACUUAUAGAUGGAUCCGCGCCGCAUUAGCUAGUUGGUAAGGUAACGGCUUACCAAGGCAACGAUGCGUAGCCGACCUGAGAGGGUGAUCGGCCACACUGAGACUGAGACACGGUCCAGACUCCUACGGGAGGCAGCAGUAGGGAAUCUUCCGCAAUGGGCGAAAGCCUGACGGAGCAACGCCGCGUGAGUGAUGAAGGUCUUCGGAUCGUAAAACUCUGUUAUUAGGGAAGAACAAAUGUGUAAGUAACUAUGCACGUCUUGACGGUACCUAAUCAGAAAGCCACGGCUAACUACGUG
rnacentral:rRNA from 1 species